UACGUAGGGGGGCUAGCGUUGUCCGGAAUCAUUGGGCGUAAAGAGCGUGUAGGCGGUCCGGUAAGUCCGCUGUGAAAGUCGGGGGCUCAACCCUCGAAUGCCGGUGGAUACUGUCGGGCUAGAGUGCGGAAGAGGCGAGUGGAAUUCCUGGUGUAGCGGUGAAAUGCGCAGAUAUCAGGAGGAACACCGAUGGCGAAGGCAGCUCGCUGGGACGGUACUGACGCUGAGGCGCGAAAGCGUGGGGAGCAAACAGG
rnacentral:rRNA from 1 species